rnacentral:rRNA from 1 species
AACGUAGGACGCAAGCGUUAUCCGGAGUUACUGGGCGUAAAGCGCGGGCAGGCGGCUCGAUGCGUCUGAUGUGAAAUCUCCUCGCUCAACGGGGAGAGGCCAUUGGAAACGGUCGGGCUGGAGGGCAGUAGAGGCAGGCGGAAUUCCGGGUGGAGUGGUGAAAUGCGUAGAGAUCCGGAGGAACACCAGAGGCGAAGGCGGCCUGCUGGGCUGCACCUGACGCUGAGACGCGAAAGCCAGGGGAGCGAACGGG